UACGUAGGGGGCAAGCGUUGUCCGGAUUUAUUGGGCGUAAAGAGCGUGUAGGCGGCCAUACAGGUCAGCUGUGAAAACUCGAGGCUCAACCUCGAGACGUCGGUUGAAACCGUAUGGCUAGAGUCCGGAAGAGGAGAGUGGAAUUCCCGGUGUAGCGGUGAAAUGCGCAGAUAUCGGGAAGAACACCCGUGGCGAAGGCGGCUCUCUGGGACGGUACUGACGCUGAGACGCGAAAGCUUGGGGAGCUAACAGG
rnacentral:rRNA from 1 species